AACACUCGGGGGGGGGGGGAGGGGAGGGGUCCCACAGCCCCUCCCCCACCUCAAAAAGGGUCUCACACCCCCCAAAAUCCCCCCAAAAAGGGAACCCCGAAUUUCUCCUCUCUACCCCCUAAACACCUCCCCAAAAAAACCCCAAAUUUUUGGGGUGCCCCUCCCCCACCACCCCAAAUCCUUUCCCCCCCUCCCCCACCCUUAAUUUCCCCUCCCCCACCUCUCGCUACAACCUAUGGGGGUCCCCCCCCCACCCAAAAUCCUAAAAUCUACAAAAAAACCCCCAAAAAAAUUUUGGGGAAGACCCCAAAAAAUUCAGGGGGAAUCCCCCCCCCAAAAAAAAUCAGGAGGGACCCAAAAAAUUUGGGGGGACCCCAAAAAAUCCAGAGAGACCCCAAAAAUUACAGGGAGCCCCCCAAAAAAAAUCCCCCAAAUUUUCCACCAAGGCCUUGGGACCCCCAAAUUUACCCCAAGGGCCCAAAUUUGGGGGGGGGGGGGAUCCCCCCAAAAAUCAGAAUUUUUCUCUUUUUUUGCAUAAAAUUUUGGGGUUUUUUGGCCUUUUUUGGAGCUGGGUUUUAAACGGGGACCCCAAAUUUGUCACCUGGGUGGUCCAGGACCCCAAAAUUUGUCACCCCUAUUUUUUUGGGGGUGGUUCCUCAUCAUUUUGGGGUCAUUUUCCUGCAUUUUGGGGUCAGUGACCAUCCCAGCAGGGUCCAGUGUCCGGUGGUCACUCCCCACCACUCUGGGGUCACUUUGGGGUCAUUUCCCACCAUUUUGGGGUCACUCCCCACCACUCUGGGGUCACUCUGUGGUCACUUUGGCCACCACCCCAGUGGUCACUCUCUCGAUGUCCAGCAGGGUCCAGUGUCCAGUGGUCACUCCAGACCACCCUGGGGUCACUUUGGGGUCAUUUCCCACCACUUUGGGGCCAUUUCCCACCAUUUUGGGGUCAUUCUGGUGGUCACUUCGUGGUCACUUUGGCCUCCUUGCCACCACCCCAGUGGUCACUCCCUCAGUGUCCAGCAGGGUCCAGUGUCCAGUGGUCACUCCCCACCACUCUGGGGUCACUUUGAGGGUCAGUUCGUGGUCACUUUGGCCUCCUCACCACCCCAGGUGUGACCCCUUCAGUGUCCAGGUGUCCAGUGGUCACUCCCCACCACUCUGGGGUCACUUUGGGGUCAGUCCCCAUCAUUUUGGGCUCGUUCUCCACCAUUUUGGGGUCACUUUGUGGUCACUUCAGGCUCGUUGCUGUCCCCACAGUGGUCACUCCCUCGAUGUCCAGCAGGGUCCAGGUGUCCAGUGGUCACUCCCCACCACUUUGGGGUCACUUUGGGCUCCUUGCCAUCACCCUGGUGGUCACUCCCUCAGUGUCCAGCAGGGUCCAGUGUCCAGUGGUCACUCCCCACCACUUUGGGGUCACUUUGGGCCACCCUGGUGGUCACUUGGUGGUCACUUCGCCCUCCUGGCCACCACCCCAGUGGUCACUCCCUCAGUGUCCAGCAGGGAUUCAGUGUCCAGCGGUCACUCCUCACCACUCUGUGGUCACUUUGAGCCACUUUGGGGUGACUUUUAGCCAUUUUGGGGUCACUUUGAGCCACUCUGGGGGUCAUUUCGUGUCAUCCUGGUGGUCACUUGGUGGUCACUCCGCCCUCCUGGCCACCACCCCAGUGGUCACUCCUCACCACUCUGGGGUCACUCCAGACCAUUUCAGGGGUCACUUUGUGCCACUCUGGUGGUCACUUUGUGCCACCCUGGUGGUCACUCCGCCCUCCUGGCCACCACCCCAGUGGUCACUCCAGACCAUUUCAGGGGUCACUUUGUGCCACCCUGGUGGUCACUCCGCCCUCCUGGCCACCACCCCAGCGGUCACCCCCUCACCUGACCCCUCACUCCCCUCCCUCCACCCCCAC